GGUCUUAUAUUCAAUAAUGAUAUAAAAUUGCAAAUUUUAAGGAAUAUAAAAUUAUAUUAAGGCUU
rnacentral:tRNA from 1 species